rnacentral:tRNA from 1 species
GCCCGAGUGGGGUAGCUUGGAUAUCCUGCAAGCCUGCGGAGCUUGAGACUCGGAUUCGAAUUCCGGCUCGGGCA